rnacentral:rRNA from 1 species
UACGUAGGGUGCAAGCGUUGUCCGGAAUUAUUGGGCGUAAAGAGCUCGUAGGCGGUCUGUCGCGUCGGAUGUGAAAAUCCAGGGCUCAACCCUGGACCUGCAUUCGAUACGGGCAGACUAGAGUUCGGCAGGGGAGACUGGAAUUCCUGGUGUAGCGGUGAAAUGCGCAGAUAUCAGGAGGAACACCGGUGGCGAAGGCGGUGGUCUGGGCCGGCACUGACGCUGAGGAGCGAAAGCGUGGGGAGCGAACAGG